AGCUUUGCACAGUGGCAGUAUCAUAGCCAAUGAAGUUUAUCUGAGGCAUGGUUAUUGCUAAUUAAAAACAUGGUUUAGUGGUCUAAGCAGCCAAGGAGCCUCAGUAUAUCAUUAUUUUGCCUUUACCAAUGGUA